ACAAUUAUUAUAGGAAUUAUGGUAGCGUAAUCCAUAUGACCCGUUCGCUCUAUCAAUAACGACUCAACUCAUUAGUCGAAAUGCCAAACUAGUUUGUAUAAUCGUGAUCAGUAACAUCAGCGUACGAUUCAUUUCGCCAUCUGUUAGCCACGAACUAAGACAAAAAGGACUAGACACAAAGCCAUAUCAGGCAAUCCGGUUUUUUGGUAGAUUUCUCGUAAAAGAUAAUCAAGUUAUUUUGUAAAAAGGAGAACUAACAAAGUCAGCACAAAAAUAUUUCUUUUAUACCAAUGAACUCAAUUUAAAUUUACUUAAAUGAUAAAAUUAAGGCAGGAGCGGACAAGUAAACUAUACAUAUCACAAUAUAUCCAUAAUCUAAAAUAUAUUUAGGAGAAGGAAGCGGAUUAUUUAACAUAAAACGAAAUUUAUAAUACUUUCUCAGCUUCGCAUCGAAGCUAAAAUUUACGUACAAAUAAUUUCAUUUUCAAAAUAUUCCUAAAUUUUCGGAUUAAAAAAUAUUGAUUUACAAUUUACUUUGAUGGAUAAAGAAUUAAUCGAUGAUUAAUUAUUGGUGGCCAUUAAUAUUAUAAAAAUAAUCAGAAUAAUUUUUUAUAAUUUUUCGUGAAUUAUAUUAGUUUUAUUCGAUAGCUUGUUUUACUGAAUGUGUUCAAAAAUUAAAAAAUAAUAAUUAUCUUCGAGUGUAUUUAACCCUUUCCGUCUUAAGUAGUAAAAGGUUCAGGUAUUAAAUUUUUGGUAAAUUCUCAAGCCAGAACCUUUGUCACCAGAGCAACAGGUUUAGUUUUAGAGUUAGAUUUUAGUGUACUAAAAACUAUUAAAUUCAUUAAAGGAUCUAACAAGUUAAUCAUCAUCGUCUCCUUGCCUAUACCUUAACUAUUUGGGGUUGGAUACCUUAUUGAUAUGACUUAAUUCUCAUAAUAGCUGCCGACCUGAAGCAACCUUAUUAUAACUAAGGGAAUCAGUAUGAAGGCAAGGUUUGUAUCACUAUUUAAGUUCCCGUAUGGUCUCUCAUGUAGAAACUAACAACGAAUAGCGCAAAUCACUGAAUAUCAGUGAUAAGGCGGCGAUAGAAUGAUCCACUGCGCCACACCACGACCUACUGUAACAUUAGAAUCUCAUUAAAGAAGAAAGUCUAAAUAUAAAUAAUUGAUAAGUACACUGUAAAUAUUUCUUACAUUAAGUAGCUGAUACUACUCAUUAUCGAGGCUUUAUUUUGUAAAUAAAAAAAAUUAAA